GGUGCUUGCACCUGAUUGACGAUGGAUCACCAGUGAGUGGCGGACGGGUGAGUAACACGUAGGUAACCUGCCCCGGAGCGGGGGAUAACAUUUGGAAACAGAUGCUAAUACCGCAUAACAACAAAAGCCACAUGGCUUUUGUUUGAAAGAUGGCUUUGGCUAUCACUCUGGGAUGGACCUGCGGUGCAUUAGCUAGUUGGUAAGGUAACGGCUUACCAAGGCGAUGAUGCAUAGCCGAGUUGAGAGACUGAUCGGCCACAAUGGAACUGAGACACGGUCCAUACUCCUACGGGAGGCAGCAGUAGGGAAUCUUCCACAAUGGGCGCAAGCCUGAUGGAGCAACACCGCGUGAGUGAAGAAGGGUUUCGGCUCGUAAAGCUCUGUUGUUGGAGAAGAACGUGCGUGAGAGUAACUGUUCACGCAGUGACGGUAUCCAACCAGAAAGUCACGGCUAACUACGUGCCAGCAGCCGCGGUAAUACGUAGGUGGCAAGCGUUAUCCGGAUUUAUUGGGCGUAAAGCGAGCGCAGGCGGUUGCUUAGGUCUGACGUGAAAGCCUUCGGCUUAACCGAAGAAGUGCAUCGGAAACCGGGCAACUUGAGUGCAGAAGAGGACAGUGGAACUCCAUGUGUAGCGGUGGAAUGCGUAGAUAUAUGGAAGAACACCAGCGGCGAAGGCGGCUGUCUGGUCUGCAACUGACGCUGAGGCUCGAAAGCAUGGGUAGCGAACAGGAUUAGAUACCCUGGUAGUCCAUGCCGUAAAACGAUGAGUGCUAGGUGUUGGAGGGUUUCCACCCUUCAGUGCCGGAGCUAACGCAUUAAGCACUCCGCCUGGGGAGUACGACCGCAAGGUUGAAACUCAAAGGAAUUGACGGGGGCCCGCACAAGCGGUGGAGCAUGUGGUUUAAUUCGAAGCUAC
rnacentral:rRNA from 1 species